GCUUUCGGGCUGUAAACCGCUUUCAGCAGGAACGAAAAUGACGGUACCUGCAGAAGAAGGAGCGGCCAACUAUGUGCCAGCAGCCGCGGUGAUACAUAGGCUUCAAGCGUUGUCCGGAUUUAUUGGGCGUAAAGAGUUCGUAGGCGGUCGAGUAAGUCGGGUGUGAAAAUUCUGGGCUCAACCCAGAGACGCCACCCGAUACUGCUUAACUUGAGUUCGACAGGGGAGUGGGGAAUUCCUAGUGUAGCGGUGAAAUGCGCAGAUAUUAGGAGGAACACCGGUGGCGAAGGCGCCACUCUGGAUCGAUACUUGACGCUGAGGAACGAAAGCAUGGGUAGCAAACAGGAUUAGAUACCCUGGUAGUCCAUGCCGUAAACGGUGGGCACUAGGUGUGGGAUUCUAUUAACGAAUUCCGCGCCGUCGCUAACGCAUUAAGUGCCCCGCCUGGGGAGUACGGUCGCAAGACUAAAAACUCCAAAGGAAUUGACGGGGGGCCCGCACAAGCCAGCGGGAGCGUGUUGCUUAAUUCGAUGCUACGCCGAAAAAACCUUUACCUAGGGUUUGACAUGUUUUGGAAAAAGCAGCCAGAAGAUGUUGUGUUCCCGCAAGGGGCCCAAACACAGGGUGGGUGGCAUGGCUGUCGUUCAGCUCCGUGUCCGUGAGAAUGUUGGGGUUGAGUCCCGCAACGAGCGCAACCCCACGUCUUUAGUUGCCAGCAUUUAGUUGGGCACUCUAA
rnacentral:rRNA from 1 species